GAUGAACGCUGGCGGCGUGCUUAACACACGCAAGCCGAACGGAAAGGCUCCUGCUUGCAGGGGUACUCGAGUGGCGAACGGGUGAGUAACACGUGGGUGAUCUGCCCUGCACUUCGGGAUAAGCUUGGGAAACUGGGUCUAAUACCGGAUAGGACCGCAUUUUGGAUGGUGUGGUGGAAAGUUUUUUCGGUGUGGGAUGAGCUCGCGGCCUAUCAGCUUGUUGGUGGGGUAAUGGCCUACCAAGGCGUCGACGGGUAGCCGGCCUGAGAGGGUGUACGGCCACAUUGGGACUGAGAUACGGCCCAGACUCCUACGGGAGGCAGCAGUGGGGAAUAUUGCACAAUGGGCGCAAGCCUGAUGCAGCGACGCCGCGUGGGGGAUGACGGCCUUCGGGUUGUAAACUCCUUUCGCUAGGGACGAAGAGUAAUUGACGGUACCUGGAGAAGAAGCACCGGCUAACUACGUG
rnacentral:rRNA from 1 species